ensembl:lncRNA
CUUCUUUUUAAAAGUAUCUUCUCAUAUUGUUUUGUAUGUGUUAUGUGCAGGUACAUCACUUUUUGAUGACUAUAUCACAUGACAUGUGCAUUACGUAGCUAAUUAUUAACGGAUGGAAGUUCAGGGGAUAAGAUGUGGGAAAAGAUACUAUAGCAGCCCUCCAGGACUCACAUCAGUUCUUCAGACAAAAUGUGGAAAACAUGAAUGUGAAUCUCAUGACACAAAGCAACACUACCUUUUCAGGUCUUUUUGUUUUUGUUUCUUUAGAGGGAUACUUCAAGAUCCUUGAAAAACUGUGAUGAUGUCUCCAAGCCUCAAACCCUGCAAGCUGGGGCUGAGCCUUUGUGUUUUAUGAUCUCCAGCCUUUCUCCAAUGUUCUGCAGUGACUUCCAGGACAAAUUACAACUGGAAGGAUGCAUUCAUGUAGAGAAGUAAAAGGAAUCUUGCAAGUACAGUAACCUACAGAUGACAGUCAGCAAGGAUUUGCAGGUACACCGAUCCUGAGGUAGAGAUGUCACUUUGGAGAUGUGACUGGAAAUCUGUCCUAAGAGCACUGACCAGGCCUCCUUCUGGCCUUGUGGAUUCUUCAUGCUUCCAUUUGGUUUCAGGCUUUUUGAUUUUUCCAUCCUCUAAAGGUACUACCUGUCCUUUGUAGGAUCUUUCUGUGUCUUUGUGUACAGAGAAUGCAUUGUAUUUCUUUAUUUUCUAUCAAGCACAUAGAGUAAUUGCUUUCACAGAAGAGCAAACAGAUGAAGUUAUAACAGUGAGGAGCCUUAAAAUGUACUAGCUCAUCUCUAGCUGAUCUCUAACUACUGGUUGCUAAAUAAUCAUGCCCUAAUCCUGGUCUGUUUUCCAUCUCAACUUUACCCGUGUAUAAGCCACAACUUGGGCAAAUUAAUGUAUUUCCUAAUAUGUUUUCUCUUACAGAAAAUGCAAUAUAUGAACAAAUCUCCGAACUCCACUUGGGGAAUUCUCAAGUAACUCUCAUUUUACUAUCUAGUUGUCAUCCCUAACCAUGUAAACUUCUGUGUGUGUGUGUGUGUGUGUGUGGUAUAGCAAAAUAGCAACACCAUUUGGCAAGAGAUUUAUAUUUAGGAAGUGAAUGGAGGCUUUGAGAAACCCUGUAGUAGUUUUCAAACAUGUUUAGAAAACUGAUUAGAAAACUCUUUAGAAACUACCAUUCAGUUGAAGAAUAUUAUGUAUCUUUUAGAAACGCUGUUGGCUUUCAUAGACUGCUUGGAAUAUCUUAGUGUCAGUAUUGGGAAAAUAUAUUCCUUCGUGCACUGUGAUAUAUUUCUGCAAAGCAAACUUACUACCAACUAGAACAGGUUUUCUUUCCUGUGGUUUCUCAUCUGUUUCUGCUCAGUCAAGGUGCAUCUGGGAAUACAUUUCCCCUUGCAGCAGCAGGUGGCGUUGAAUAGCACACGUUAUUCUCACACUUACAAUUAUUUUGUCUCAUAUGUAGUAAAACCUCCUCUCCCAAAAGAGAUAACCCACAAGAGAAAUUCAACAAGUUUUUAUAGAUGUAGCAGACGCUCUACAUGACAGGGGGUAGGGGUCAAAUUCUUCCAGCUUUAAUUACACUGAGAAAUAAGACCAUAAAUAAUGUAUUUAAGGAGCAGCAAAAGUAAAUGCAUUACAUUAUUUUUUUAAUUAAUUUUUCUUUACAUUUUUUUACCCACAAAAAUCUCUUGGCUUGCUCUUGCAGCACCACAGAGUUCAUGUUGUGGUACGGUGAUGUUUAUCAUGUACCAGUACUCAUUCACCCUGCAGAAAUUUGCAAACCUGAGUUUGUUUUGUGGCUUUCUUCAUCCACAUUACCUCCAUGGAACAAAGGAAUUGAUUCUUCUCCCAAAACAUUAUCAUUGCAUCUUCAUGCAGUACAGUGCAGUGUUUCAGAUUUACACUGUGGUGAGACAGAAUGAGAAUUAGUAUUUUCCAAACUUUCGCUGAAGCUUUUUCUAAAAACUACGGAAUAUUGCAGAAUCAGUUCAAAACAGACCUUCACAUGACUUCCUAAGCUUAUUUUUUAAAUAUCAUACAAAUAAAAUAAAAUGAUAUCUUUAUGUGCACACAAGUAAAACCUAAGAAUGAAAUAGAAACCUUUUACAAGCAAGUGACUGUACCUCGGUCUGUAGUCAGUCUUAGCAGUGAUUAUGAGUAUUUAAGAAAUCCAUCCAUCUUCCUUUCAUCAACAGUCACUUUUGCAUUUGCAUAUCUAAUAAUUUAUGGCAUGUCCUGACCCCAAGCAGUAAUUGAACCAAUAGAUCUUCGGACCAGAUUUACACUGGUCUGGCUGCCACAGUAAUGUAACUCUGCAGGAGUUUUGGAUUAUUCCAAAUGCCAUCUCCUCUUCUGAGAGACUCACAGUCACGGGCUAAAUUUUACCUCCAAAUGUCAAGGCAGAAACUCUAUAGCUUAGUUUAAACUAUCUAGCUCUCCUUUUGGAAUACUUUAGAUAAAAACAGGAGGCACAGUGAUCACUCCCAACAUUGCCCUUGGUAGAUUGAUCUUAAUGUAAGAUUCUGUAAUAAUAAAUUAAUUCUCCUAAGAGUAUAAAACCAUGGAAGAGCCUAAAGUGUAGAAAUGAAAGGAGGAAAUCUAUAGCAGAGUUUGUAAAUGGUAAUGUAAAAAAAAAUAGAAAUAAAAGGGGAGAGACACUGUUAUGUUGGUGAGGGCUCUGAUGAUCACAAACAGGCUGAUGAGAAUCGAGCUUCAAGUAGGAGAUAGGGUGCUCUUCUGACUUGAGCAAGCCAUGGCACAGCACAAAAAUACCCAGCCAACUGCCUGUGUUUCUUCUUCUCAAAAUGUGAUUUAGAGACCAAUUUCAAGGCAGCAUUAUAUGCUUCAGUAAAGGGUUCUCAAAAGCUUUGAAUAAGAAAAAUACCGGCAAACACACAGCUCUGCACUGUUGCAGGCACUUUGCUGAAUACUAAGUAUUGAGAAAAUACAGCAAUAGAAGUUGUGUCUUUUCUAGCAGGUAUUCCUUGGGGAAAAUCUCUCACUGCUCUUCACCUGUUUCUGACUGUAACAGAAGAGUCAGGUGCACAGACCGGUCACACUGCUGCUGCUUCCAAACAGUAUUCCAGACAUUAUAAAAAGAUGCUGGGUCUGAAAUUUUAUAACAAGUCUCAUCAGUUGGCUGUUUUAUUUUCCUGGAAAGGAGCUCAACUGAACAAGCUCUGGCAGACACACAGAGCUAUGCUGUUGCCACUGACAGGAGUCCCAGAACAACACAUACAGUCUGUGAGAAAAUGCUACUGUCUCACAACUGUGGAAAAAAAAGAAAAGAGCAGCAAAGCAUCCUCCAGUAAUGCAGUGUUUCCAAAGUGGAAAUGAAAGGCACAGGUGGAGACUCAACUGCCUACUUGUCAUAAGGCUAAAUAUUUCUUCACUCAAGAUGUAAUAAAUCCUGGAGUACUCUCUGCUCUCACAGGAGGAUUUCAGCACGGAGGCAUGCUGCAGAAAGAUCUUCCGGGGAAAAUGUAUUUUUGAGUACUCCAGACAAUUGAAACUAGUGAGCCCACUGUCUGGAGAAAGCAUCUGUAACCGCAGCCAAAAGAGGAACAAGAUUUCCGACAUUGUUUCAAGACAUGUGUUUGAAGCAUGGGUUCCCAUCACUUUCGGAGUGAGUUGCAGACCAUUUUUCUUUAUAUAGAUUUAGACAAGACAAAGCAGUCCUGGAUUUGUCUUGCUAAUUGUCUUUGUGAUUUCUCCCCAGGCCAUUUUCUUCUAUGUCCUUUGCUUUGUUGGAAUAUGAUCAUUUCCUCAAGAAACUUUAAGUGGGACCGAGCAUUGUUUCAAACUGUUGUUGUUUUCUCUUUGGCCCAAUACUCAUCCAAUCUGCUCACAUUUCUGCAUUCUUAAUAACUGAUCAAACCUUACACCUUAAAUACUGGAGUGCAUAGCUUUCAAAAACAAGAUGUAAUUUUGCAGAAUAAUUUUCAUAUGUUCUAAUAAAUGGGAACUUAAGAUAAAUAUGAUUUGAGCUCCAGGCUGUGGUUAAGUGUUUUAAUAGUGUAGCAAACUUAUCAACAAACUUUUCCUUCCCCACCCUGCCCCCUUCCCUUUUUGCAGUGAACAGAUUUUUAUCUGACUGGCUUGUGACUUGGGGAAUUUUACAAGCAGAUUUCAGUACUUGUCCAACAUUUUGAAAUUUGAUUCUGAAAACAAAACAAAACAAAAUCUUAAAACAAUACAAAACAGUAUUUUAUAAAGUAUGUAACAACUGGGCUCAAAUAUGCUAUGCAAGAAAAUGAGAAAGUUGUAAGCUUUAGCAGCUGCACUGAACUGCCCAUUAGAGAAACAUCAGGCAGGAGGAACAACCUUACAACAUUGUGAAAGCACUUUUUUUACAGCCAGACCUCCAACUCUGACCAAUGUGCUAAUAGCUGAUAAGGGUGUGCUUUGAGAAAAUAAUUCAGGGGUUACAAGAAACAUUAAAUGCAUGUGCAGAAAGAUCUUGGUCAGCUAAUAUCCAAUAA